CUCCUUUCCCUUCAGACCCUCGCCACCUCCACCACCACACCACCCUCACUUUCUCUUAUCGGACCAGCAGCACUUCAGAGCAACGCCUGGUCUUAACUGUAGCUCUUUCACCUCUCUCGCCCACCUGGAGGCACAGAGAUCAUCCACACCAAACUACAGCCAGGUAAGAAGCACCAAGAGCACGGAUGCAGCAGUUUAGGACUGAAGCUGAAGGACUUUUGGCCAUGGAGGCGACUGUAGAGUCUCGCUGGGCAUCCUCAUCGCUGCUGCCAGGUGAGGUGCUGCCCACUUACCCGUCUGACUCCAGCUUUGUGUCUCACACCGAGGACGAUUCGACUUUCUCCAGCAUAGAUGCUGAAUGUGGAGGCCUGCCUUCCCUCUUCUCCAACGCCGUCCAGAGCCGCGGCGCAGCGACAUACAGACACAGCCCAGUGAGACAAGUUUACUCCUCUCCUUUUCUAAGUGGCUUGUCAUGGCUGGAGGGCUCCAGCGCUCACUCUCUCUCUAGCCCGUACCCAUCACCCCCUUCCGCCUGGCAUGGUGGUACGUUCAGCAGGACCCCGGUGCUCCCCCACAGCUCCUCCACCUCCUCUCCUUUCCAUCCAUCCAUCCCUCUGUCCUCCAUCAGAGCCCCUCGCUCUGAGCUCCACCCACCCGGCCUGGACUGCAAGGACAGUGUGAAAGGCGAGAGGGUCAGUCCUGCAGCGGGCGCUGAGGGUGUGGGGGGAGUUUACACCAUCAACCACGUCGCCAGCGGUGGUGUAUAUCCACACGAUCACGGGCCGCCGCAGGCGCACACACACACUCACACACAUUCUCUAGGACACUACAGCUCCUACAGCAACCCAGCUCAGGACUUCAGCAGCGUUGGCCUCUACUCGCCCUCCUCAUUCUCCCCGAAACUGCGAGGCAAGAUGACUCUCUCUCCCACAGAAACGCGGGAGUGUGUGAACUGCGGGGCCACUGCUACCCCUCUGUGGAGGCGUGAUGGUACAGGCCACUACCUCUGCAAUGCCUGUGGACUAUACCACAAGAUGAAUGGACAAAACAGACCUCUGAUCCGGCCUAGGAAGAGACUGGUUGUGAGUAAGAGGGCAGGAACUCAGUGUGCCAACUGCCAGACGAGCACCACCACACUGUGGAGACGUAAUGCCAGCGGGGAACCUGUGUGCAACGCCUGUGGGCUUUACUUUAAACUACACAAUGUGAGAGCUCCUCUUUUUUUUCCAUCACUUUUUUUAGGACAAAUGUAGCCUUGCACACCAAUAUCCUAGAUUUCUAACUUUGUGUGGGCAGAUAUUUGGAUAUAUCAAGUGGAAAUGUUGUCCACACUGGAAAAAAGAUGAUUUAGAGGAAUAGCUUGAGAAAAUAAGGACUAGAAUUAGUCUAAGUAUGCUAUAAAGUUCUGGAUGUCACACACAGUAGUGAGUUUUUCCCAAGAAAUGAGUGAUUCCAGUGUUUACCUGUGAAGACUAAUCAGUGUGAUGGGAAAGAAAUGUGAGAUACUUAUACCAACCCACGAUUAUACAAUAGCAAUAAAGCUAAUGUCACAAAAUGCUCUAGAUAUUCCACAAAAAAUACCAAGAACCGCGUUUCUACAGUCUUCCGAUAACAUACUCAGAGUUAAUACCAAUUCGGGUCCCAUGUGGCACAACAGAAAAGCGUUUGCCCAUGAGUUCGAAUCCUGGUGAUGCCACAGCCAUCUGUGGCUGGGAGUCAAGGGAGCAAAACUGGCUGGGAUGCCAUACCCUCUCGGCUGUCAAUCACAGCGACACUAGCCAAUCGCAGGUGUCUGUAUGUGGAAGAGGGCAAAUAACCCUUUCCUUUGAGUGUGUUACACAGCCCUGUGAUGCAGCACGAGCAGCAGUUUGAAAAGAUGAAGUGGGCUGGAUUCACGUGUCUCUGAUGAUGCAGGUGUUAACCUUCACCCUACCUGGUGAACAGACCCCUCACUAUGAAGAAGGAUGGAAUUCAGACACGCAACCGGAAGGUGUCGAGUAAGAGCAGGAAGGGGAGGAGGAGUACUGCUAUGGAGCUCGAUUCAUUCUCGGAGCCCUUGAAGGCCUCCGGGU